rnacentral:rRNA from 1 species
CGGGGGGCAGCAGUUUCGAAUCGUUCACAAUGGGGGCAACCCUGAUGGCGCGACGCCGCGUGGGGGAUGAAGGUCUUCGGAUUGUAAACUCCUGUCAUUGGGGACUAAUGGCCAGGCUCAUACCCUGGUUUGAAUUAACCCAAAGAGGAAGCAGUGGCUAACUCUGUGCCAGCAGCCGCGGUAAUACAGAGACUGCAAGCGUUACUCGGAUUCACUGGGCGUAAAGGGAGCGCAGGCGGACUAGUGUGUCAGGCGUGAAAUCUCAGGGCUCAACCCUGAGGCUGCGUCCGAAACUACUAGUCUAGAAACUUGGAGGGGUAAGCGGAAUUCUUGGUGGAGCAGUGAAAUGCGUAGAUAUCAAGAGGAACACCAACGGCGAAGGCAGCUUACUGGACAAGAUUUGACGCUCAGGCUCGAAAGCGUGGGGAGCAAAAAGGAUUAGAUACCCGAGU